AAAAAAAUGGACUUUAUUCUCUUGGUGGUAUAUUCAGAGUUUAAAAAUCUCAGAGCUGCUCCUGUAUCUGCACAGAUAGAAACUGGAGAUGUUAAUUUUUUGUCAUUUGGCUUCUAGAUGUCCUUGGCGUGUGCACCCCUGUGGAAUCCAGUUCAUCUCCAAUCUGUCAGGAAGUAUCAGAGGUGGUUUUGACUCCUUAUGUCCUGGGCCUGUGCACAAAAUGUGUGCAGCUGCCCACAAAGUUGCCAGCCAUGAGUGCCACAGAAACAGAGUGGAGGGAAAUACCAGAGAGAAAGGCUUUUUCCCAACUCAGAAUUUCACUUGUGCCAAGAAUUACACAGACUCUCAUGAAGACAUUCCAGCAGUUUCUGUCUUGUAAGUCCUCUAAGAAUCAGAGUAAAUCUCUCAUAAGACCCUUCUGUCACCUUCCAACCUUUACCUCUGGAACCUCUGGAAUCAGGUGCUCUCACUUGGAUGGAUCAUGCAGGAAAGUGAUGCCAUCCCCUGUGCCAUUAUUCUUGUCUUCCCCAAGUUAGUAGUUAGUAGUUCCUAACCCCAUAUAAAUGAAUCUCUUCUCCCUCAGUCAUAAAACAGUAUGUCCGUACGAAUCAAUGGUUAUACACAGGGGCUGGUGUGUAUUUAAUAUGAGUAGGUAGGUGGGAGAAGGGGUCUUUUCUACAGCUCAGCCACUCAAGGUGCUUUGUUUGGCUCUGUAAUCUACUAUUUAUGUGACAUGGGUUGGCUUCUGGAAAAAUAGUGAGUUAAAGAAUCUGCCUUCUUCUCAUGCCCACUGCUCUUUUUAUACACCUAGUCUCACUGGAGCAUAUUUUAUUUUAUUUUAGAUUUUAUUUAUUUCUUCACGAGAGGCAUAGAGAGAGAGAGAGGCAGAGACAUAGGAAGAGGGAGAAGCAGGCUCCCUGUGGUGAACCUGAUGACGAGACUCGAUCCCAGGACCCCGGGAUCACAACCUGAGCCAAAGGCAAAUGCUCAACCACUGAGCCACCCAGGUGCUCUGGAAUAUAUUUUUAAAAGAUGCAAGCAAUUAGAAUAUUUUUGAAGGUGGCUAGGGCUUUUCAACUGUUGGUUGUUUUUGUAGUUAUCCACUGUAGCACCUUUUUGUUAUCUUCAGGUGAAAGGGACUGAAGAUCUUUCUGCCAUGACAUUUCUCAAAAUAUGCUGCAUAGAUUACCACCUACUUCAUCCAUGUGUUAGAUAAUGCUAUUCAGAUAAUUUGGGCAUAUUACUGUAAAAAAGAGGACCUACAAGAAGUAAAUUUAUAAGAGGUAAAAUUAUUUUUAGGUAUAUUUUUAUAUUGGGAAAAUGUUUUAAUUUCAGUAGUACCAGUGUCACAGCUGAAUAGCUAUUAGAAAAAUGCAUUAAUGAAAAACCUAUUUGUGGAUUAAUUAUGGAUGAGAAUUUCUUUAUUAGUUUACAUAUGGCCUUGUGUCUUUUGAAAAACUAAUUUUAUACAAAUUUUAAUUGAAGAUGUAUCUGCUGGGGAGUACAUACUUAUGAAAUACAAUAUUUUCUUUCUUGGAGACAGCACCAAUGACUAUACUAAUAUAGAAAGAAUCAAGUUUAAGUGUCAAAAACAAGUUAUGCCAUUGAUUUUGUUAAACAAUACAAGAUUCAGAUUCAACUAAUGUUUAUGGAGUCCCUAAUUUGGCCAGAUAUUGUACUAUUAUAGGUAUCUAUUAUUUAACCUCUAAUUCUUCAGAGUUAGAAAUGAACUUGGUGUUCUUAUUCACAUUUUACAGAUAAGAAAUGUGUGGUCUGAAUAAGUUAGAUGGUGACUCCGUGUCUAGUGGGUAAUAGAUGUGGGACUUGAAGCCAGGGCUCCCUGAUGCCAAGGAGGAAGUUAAUUAGUGACUUUGCUGUUAUUAAAUUUAUGACCUCAGUCCAACUUCUCUUUACUCCAAAAUCUACAGUAUAUUUCUAGUUAACUGAAGAGUGAAGAUUCUUGUGGGUUACUACAUGUAUUUGGUGGAUGAUGACAAUAUAUGAGAAAGUUGUAUUUCUACUUCUGAUAGGAAUCUUUCUUUAAUAAAGGAAUAGUGAUGUGCUAACCA
rnacentral:lncRNA from 12 species